UUAAAUGAUGGCCAAAGCGUAAAGCCUAUGUUACUUGAGAUGACAUAGCCAAUGUUGUAAUAACUAUCUAACAAUCUUAAAUGUUCAUUCCUAAUUGGUCAGGGCGGUUGCUCAGUAAAAAUAUUUAUCUAUCUAUUUUUUUUCAAUAUAUGUGUAUAUCUAUCUAUCUAUUUAUCUAUAUAUGUGAAAUAAGUAAUAUAAAUGGAAUAAGAGUCUCGGAUAAACGGUCUACGUUUGCAAAUUAAUUCAAACCUAUUAGAACGUGCCAUCUCAGCAUUUUUAGGCAUGUCAUCUAACUGAACAUCCACGUAAUAUUUUCGGCAAAUAAAAAAAAAAAAUUGGCCAACAAUCUAAGAGCCUCCUUCUUCCUCCAAUUUCCAAAGACCUGGCUAGGGAAAACUGAACAUCAACCGUUCCAUUAUAUAUUUUCAUCUCCCUUGCAAUUGAAUUCUCAUCUAAUACAUUUUUGAGCUUUAUAACAUAUAAUGACCGACUCUUACAAGUCCUUUCAGUUGAAGAGACCCAUCCUCAAACCUUCCAGUAAGUUAAAAUCAAACGCCAAUCAAUUGAUGAAAUCGUCAAAUCUUCUCAGCAAGGUUCCCUCUCUGGUUUUCUGCACAAUUAGUUUCUGAUAAUCACAUUGGAGGAAUAUAUCGUCACCAGACUGUGAGGCCAUCAUCCUUAUGUUAGAAGCCUGUAAUCCAGCUGAAGCUGGGAUGUUCAUCAAACUUGAGCGUCUAAUCAUUAGUGAACAAGUACUCCUUUAGUAUUUUCCUCUCGUUUUAAGAUUUAUAAAGUUUGUGGUCUCUAAAGUCGAUUCACACACAACAGACAACCGCAAAGGACUGUGGCUUCUGGAUCUUUAUUUGAUUGUUAUGCUUUAUGUGCUUUGCUGAUUGUGCUGGUUUGUGGAGAACAAAUUGCAGAAUUUUGCUUCACAACACUCAGAUGUCCUUGAGAAAACUUGAAUCCGACAAUCAUGAACCGUGUAGAGAUUCUAAGAGAGAUCCAGGGGAGACAGACAAUCUUCCAGUUAGAUGAAUAUGUACAUAGUCUUUUACUUAUUCCUUUUAAAUUUUGCAUUGCAGGACCACCAUGAUGAAAUGGAAUCAAGGAGAGGCAGCGGUAGAAGCUUAUUAUCAGAAGUUGUAUCAACCUUUGUAUAUAAAGGUAUGGAAAUGAUCUUCUAUUUGUUGCUUCUUACUUAAUAUAUCAAUUGGAGUUAAUAAAAAAAAUUGAGAUUGAGGGACGUGAAGGACAAGAAUACACUCCUCUACGUCCACAGCUCCACUUAUCCUCCUCCUUGGUUCGUGAUUAUGUUCUGGUUCCAAUUCUCUUCUUCUUUUCUUAUCCCUCAUGCUUAUAACUGAUAUUAAUAGUUCUCUUUCUUCUCAACGUAGUAGUAGGAUACAACUUGAUAUGUCCUCUCUCUCUCGUAAAAUUAUAACUGACGUUGAUGGUUUUCUGCUUUUCUACCGCAUUGUUCACAUUAAACAGCUUUGUGAGAUUAUGAAUGGUGUGGUUGAAGUUGAAAGUGCACCAGAAGAAGUAAAAACAGAACAAGGCGAAGAUAAAACUGCUGAAGGUGUGUUAGAAACUACAACCUGAUUAUCUUUUUUGUUUUCAAUGCAGGUGAAAUUAUGUUUCAACUUCAACUGAUACGAAUAUCUGGAAGGGGUACCGGAUUUCUUGCAUAUUGCACUGGAGAAUUACCCCUGAGUUUUGUUCCGUAUUACAACAAGUCUUAUUGACCCUUAAAACUGUUGUUCUUGAUGGAGAUUGAGUGGUAUCCUCGAAAAUGUUUGACUCAGAUGGUUAUGUUCUAUAAAAUAAGGCAAAGAAGGGAUCCAAAAAGACAAAGCCGACCAUUAAGACUGAGGAUUGUGAUACUAUAACUUCGGAAACUCAUUUGGUGGUACUCUUUGUUGUGUUCCAGUCACCGGCUCGGCUGGGCAGUAAGUUUGACAAUCACUCAUACGUCCUCGACUGAGUGAUUGUCAAACUUACUCCAAGGGCUGUUGCUAACCUGAGGAGGACGAGGAUGAUGAUGAAAACAAUAGUAGUUUGUUGUUUUGGUCAUUCUUUGACUUGAUUUAUCAUCUAUCACUUUGGUAUGGGAAAUAACAUCUUUGGUAACAAUUUUCCUUUUUUCUUAAUUCUACUCAGAUUUGAUUUUCUA